rnacentral:rRNA from 1 species
UACGUAGGCAGCAAGCGUUGUUCGGAAUUACUGGGCGUAAAGCGUGCGCAGGCGGCGCGUUAAGACAGGUGUGAAAGCCCCGAGCUUAACUUGGGAAUUGCGCUUGUGACUGGCGUGCUGGAGUGUGGCAGAGGGAGGUGGAAUUCCACGUGUAGCAGUGAAAUGCGUAGAGAUGUGGAGGAACACCGAUGGCGAAGGCAGCCUCCUGGGCCAGCACUGACGCUCAUGCACGAAAGCGUGGGGAGCAAACAGG